rnacentral:misc_RNA from 1 species
CUUUUUGCAACUGCUCUGCUGUCUGCAAAAGAACAACUUUAAUAAAAUAUUUGGACGUAAUUAUGAAAUAAAUGGAAAAGUAUCUUGUACCAUAGCAUGCAGAUACAUACUUGCUCUUUUUAUCUUUCUAUUCCUUUUCAUCCGAAGUAUACAGGCAAAUUUACAAGGAAUGCCAUGAAAAAAAAAUGUAACACCUUGUAAUUAGGAGUUAAUGUGAUCACUUUUAAACCACAAGUUUUAUAGAAGAUUAAAAUUUUUCUUCAUUAUUUAAAACGAAUACAAAAUGAUUUUUGACAUCAAUUGUUGAUAACUAUAACAUUGAUAAGAGAGAGCAUAAACAUACCUUUCCAUAAGCAAGAGCAUCUGG